UACGGAGGGAGCAAGCGUUACUCGGAAUUACUGGGCGUAAAGGGCGCGUAGGCGAUUUUGUAAGUCUUGUGUGAAAGCCCAAAGCCUAACUUUGGAAGUGCAUAAGAUACUGCGAGAAUUGAGUUCCGGAGAGGAAGAUGGAAUUCCCGGUGUAGCGGUGAAAUGCGUAGAUAUCUGGAGGAACACCGGUGGCGAAGGCGGCAUCCUGGACCGGUAUUGACGCUGAGGCGCGAAAGCCAGGGGAGCAAAGCGGGG
rnacentral:rRNA from 1 species